GACGAACCGUGCGAACGUUGUUCGGAAUCACUGGGCUUAAAGGGCGCGUAGGCGGGCCCUCAAGUCCGGGGUGAAAUCCUCCCGCUUAACGGGAGAAGAGCCUCGGAGACUGAGGGCCUCGAGGGAGGUAGGGGCGUGCGGAACUAUGGGUGGAGCGGUGAAAUGCAUUGAUAUCCAUAGGAACUCCGGUGGCGAAGGCGGCGACGCUGGACCUCUUCUGACGCUGAGGCGCGAAAGCCAGGGGAGCAAACGGG
rnacentral:rRNA from 1 species